rnacentral:rRNA from 1 species
GACGUAGGGCGCGAGCGUUGUCUGGAUUUAUUGGGCGUAAAGAGCUCGUAGGCGGCUUGUCGCGUCGACCGUGAAAACUUGGGGCUCAACCCCAAGCCUGCGGUCGAUACGGGCAGGCUCGAGUUCGGUAGGGGAGACUGGAAUUCCUGGUGUAGCGGUGAAAUGCGCAGAUAUCAGGAGGAACACCGAUGGCGAAGGCAGGUCUCUGGGCCGAUACUGACGCUGAGGAGCGAAAGCGUGGGGAGCGAACAGG